rnacentral:RNase_P_RNA from 1 species
GAAGCACGCCAGGCCGUCGCUGGUGCAAGGGCCGAAAGGCCGCACUGGAGGAACGUCCGGACUGCACAGGGCAGCGUAGCAGGCAACACCUGUCCACCGUGAGGUGAGGAUCAGAGCAACAGAGACGAGUCGGGAUGUCGCGUCGCGGCGGCGCAAGCCGCCGCAAAGCCCUUUCGGGGGUGAGCGGCAGACCGGGUGAAACGGGCAAUCUCUACGCGCAGCAAUACCAAAUAGGCCAGCGAUGGAGGGCGGUUCGCCGUCCUCCGGAUCCCGUGGCCCGCGGGCGGCUGGCGGGUAGGUAGCACCGAGCCGUGGGGGCGACUCCCGGCCCAGAAGAAUGGCGGUCACGCCCGGGCAACCGGGCGCACAGAAUCCGGCGUAACGGCGCGCUUCACAC